UUUCCUACAUCUUUCACUUUACCCCGAGAGUUUUUCAGAGGAGGUUUGAUUUGAAACUCGUCGAAAUCCAGAGUGAUCCGGUGAUUCCGGGGCGAUUUAGAAUCGUCCGAACAGCGAAAUGAGAGCUAAGUGGCGUAAGAAGAGGAUGCGCAGGCUAAAGCGCAAGAGGAGGAAGAUGCGUGCGAGGUCCAAAUAAGCGGCUCCUCUUCACAGACUCUCCGUGGGAAAAGCAGACCUGCGACGUUUCACCGUUCGACGAACGCUCCUGGCAGAUUUGAGAAUCCCGAGGAGACGAAUCUUCAAUGGACACGUUUCUCACACCGAGAGCAUUUUGUACAUCUUGCAAAUCUUGUUUGAUUAAAUACAUCCAGCUCCUACAAGAUAGAA